UGUUUUUGUUCAUUGAUCCAAAGUUUGUGGUGUAACGCCCGUGAACCGGAAAAUCGGUUAGGGUUUGUUUUUAAAUCAUCCGGUUUAAUUGGUUGGGUUAAUUGGAAACCCUAAAGUGUGCCUAUAAAAGAAGGAAACUCGAAAUUAGGGCUUUAGUUAGCCAUUUUUCGUUUUAUAAAGGAGAAAAAGAGAGAAAAGGAGAAGGAGCAGAAUCGUUAGGGUUUGGGAGAAAUCAGUUUCGUCAUAUCAAAUCGUGGUAAAAGGUAACGAAAUUUGGUAGGGUUAUUCCCAAAUCCUUUAUCGUUAUUCUCCAGUUUACAGA
rnacentral:sRNA from 1 species